rnacentral:rRNA from 1 species
UACGAAGGGGGCUAGCGUUGCUCGGAAUCACUGGGCGUAAAGGGUGCGUAGGCGGGUCUUUAAGUCAGGGGGGAAAUCCUGGAGUUCAACUCCAGAACUGCCUUUGAUACUGAGGAUCUUGAGUACGGGAGAGGUGAGUGGAACUGCGAGUGUAGAGGUGAAAUUCGUAGAUAUUCGCAAGAACACCAGUGGCGAAGGCGGCUCACUGGCCCGUAACUGACGCUGAGGCACGAAAGCGUGGGGAGCAAACAGG